AUGACCUGGNCUACACACGUACUACAAUGCCCGGUACAACGGGAAGCGAAGCCGCGAGGUGGAGCCAAUCUAGAAAAGCCGGUCUCAGUUCGGAUUGUAGGCUGCAACUCGCCUACCAUGAAG
rnacentral:rRNA from 1 species